CGCGCAGGCGGGCUUGUAAGUCAGUGGUGAAAUACUGCCGCUCAACGGUAGAACUGCCAUUGAUACUGCAAGUCUUGAAUAUGGUUGAGGUAGGCGGAAUGUGUCGUGUAGCGGUGAAAUGCAUAGAUAUGACACAGAACGCCAAUUGCGAAGGCAGCUUACUAAGCCAUUAUUGACGCUGAGGCACGAAAGCGUGGGGAGCGAACAGGAUUAGAUACCCUGGUAGUCC
rnacentral:rRNA from 1 species